GACGAACGCUGGCGGCGUGCCUAAUACAUGCAAGUCGAACGCAGUGGGGACGGGUGAGUAACACGUGGGUAACCUCCCAUCAGAGGGGAUAAAACUUGGAAACAGGUGCUAAACCGAUACUGAUGGAUGAACCAGCGGUGCAUUAGCUAGUUGUUGAGGUAACGGCUCACCAAGGCCCAGAUGCAUAGCCGCCCUGUGAGCGGGAUCGGCCAUACUGGGACUUAGACACGGCCGAUACUCCUAAGGGAGGCAGCAGUAGGGAAUCUUCGGCAAGGGACGAAAGUCUGACCGAGCAACUCCGUGUGAGUGAAGAAGGUUUUCGGAUCUUAAAACUCUGUUGUUAGAGAAGCGGUAUCUAACCAGAAAGCCACGGCUAAAUACGUGCCAGCAGCCGCGGUAAUUC
rnacentral:rRNA from 1 species